rnacentral:rRNA from 1 species
UACGAAGGGGGCUAGCGUUGCUCGGAAUCACUGGGCGUAAAGGGUGCGUAGGCGGGUCUUUAAGUCAGGGGUGAAAUCCUGGAGCUCAACUCCAGAACUGCCUUUGAUACUGAGGAUCUUGAGUUCGGGAGAGGUGAGUGGAACUGCGAGUGUAGAGGUGAAAUUCGUAGAUAUUCGCAAGAACACCAGUGGCGAAGGCGGCUCACUGGCCCGGUUCUGACGCUGAGGCGCGAAAGCGUGGGGAGCGAACAGG